UACGAAGGGGGGCUAGCGUUGUUCGGAAUUACUGGGCGUAAAGCGCACGUAGGCGGAUUGUUAAGUUAGGGGGUGAAAUCCCAGGGCUCAACCCUGGAACUGCCUUUAAAUACUGGCAAUCUCGAGUCCGAGAGAGGUGAGUGGAAUUCCGAGUGUAGAGGUGAAAAUUCGUAGAUAUUCGGAGGAACACCAGUGGCGAAGGCGGCUCACUGGCUCGGUACUGACGCUGAGGUGCGAAAAGCGUGGGGGAGCAAACAGG
rnacentral:rRNA from 1 species